rnacentral:rRNA from 1 species
GACGAACGCUGGCGGCGUGCUUAACACAUGCAAGUCGAACGGUAAGGCUCCAGCUUGCUGGGGUGCACGAGUGGCGAACGGGUGAGUAACACGUGGGUGACCUGCCCUGCACUUCGGGAUAAGCCUGGGAAACUGGGUCUAAUACCGGAUAGGACCAUGGUGUGGAUACUGUGGUGGAAAGUUUUUUCGGUGUGGGAUGGGCCCGCGGCCUAUCAGCUUGUUGGUGGGGUAAUGGCCUACCAAGGCGGCGACGGGUAGCCGGCCUGAGAGGGUGGACGGCCACAUUGGGACUGAGACACGGCCCAGACUCCUACGGGAGGCAGCAGUGGGGAAUAUUGCACAAUGGGCGGAAGCCUGAUGCAGCGACGCCGCGUGGGGGAUGACGGCCUUCGGGUUGUAAACUCCUUUCACCAUCGACGAAGGGUUUCUGACGGUAGAUGGAGAAGAAGCACCGGCUAACUACGUG